rnacentral:rRNA from 1 species
CUGGUUGAUCCUGCCAGUAGUCAUACGCUUGUCUCAAAGAUUAAGCCAUGCAUGUCUAAGUAUAAGUAUUAUACAGCGAAACUGCGAAUGGCUCAUUAAAACAGUUAUGGUUUAUUUGAUAAUCGAAUUUUACAUGGAUAACCGUGGUAAUUCUAGAGCUAAUACAUGCCGGUGUGCCUGACUUUUCGGAAGGGCGGUAUUUAUUAGAUAACGAACCAAUAUUCCUCUGGUCUAUUGUGGUGAAUCAUAAUAACUGAUCGAAUCGCAAAGCCUUUGGCUGCGAUAUGUCAUUCAAGUUUCUGCCCCAUCAGCUUUCGAUGGUAGUGUAUUGGACUACCAUGGCUUUUACGGGUAACGGAGAAUUAGGGUUCGAUUCCGGAGAGGGAGCCUGAGAAACGGCUACCACAUCUAAGGAAGGCAGCAGGCGCGUAAAUUACCCAAUCCUGACUCAGGGAGGUAGUGACAAGAAAUAACGGACCGGCCUUUUAGGCUCGGGAUUGCAAUGAGCCGAAUUUACACCCCUUAGCGAGGACCCAUUGGAGGGCAAGUCUGGU